rnacentral:rRNA from 1 species
CAGCAGCCGCGGGAAUACGAAGGGUGCAAGCGUUAAUCGGAAUUACUGGGCGUAAAGGGCGCGUAGGUGGUUGCGUAAGUGAGAUGUGAAAUCCCCGGGCUUAACCUGGGGCGUGCAUCUUAUACUGCGUAACUGGAGUGCAAGAGAGGGUAGUGGAAUUUCCGGUGUAGCGGUGAAAUGCGUAGAUAUCGGAAGGAACACCAGUGGCGAAGGCGGCUACCUGGCUUGACACUGACGCUGAGGCGCGAAAGCGUGGGGAGCAAACAGGAUUAGAUACCCCCGUAGUCCCUGUCUCUUAUAC